GAUGAACGCUGGCGGCGUGCCUAAUACAUGCAAGUCGAGCGAACGGACGAGAAGCUUGCUUCUCUGAUGUUAGCGGCGGACGGGUGAGUAACACGUGGAUAACCUACCUAUAAGACUGGGAUAACUUCGGGAAACCGGAGCUAAUACCGGAUAAUAUUUUGAACCGCAUGGUUCAAAAGUGAAAGACGGUCUUGCUGUCACUUAUAGAUGGAUCCGCGCUGCAUUAGCUAGUUGGUAAGGUAACGGCUUACCAAGGCAACGAUGCAUAGCCGACCUGAGAGGGUGAUCGGCCACACUGAAACUGAGACACGGUCCAGACUCCUACGGGAGGCAGCAGUAGGGAAUCUUCCGCAAUGGGCGAAAGCCUGACGGAGCAACGCCGCGUGAGUGAUGAAGGUCUUCGGAUCGUAAAACUCUGUUAUUAGGGAAGAACAUAUGUGUAAGUAACUGUGCACAUCUUGACGGUACCUAAUCAGAAAGCCACGGCUAACUACGUGCCAGCAGCCGCGGUAAUACGUAGGUGGCAAGCGUUAUCCGGAAUUAUUGGGCGUAAAGCGCGCGUAGGCGGUUUUUUAAGUCUGAUGUGAAAGCCCACGGCUCAACCGUGGAGGGUCAUUGGAAACUGGAAAACUUGAGUGCAGAAGAGGAAAGUGGAAUUCCAUGUGUAGCGGUGAAAUGCGCAGAGAUAUGGAGGAACACCAGUGGCGAAGGCGACUUUCUGGUCUGUAACUGACGCUGAUGUGCGAAAGCGUGGGGAUCAAACAGGAUUAGAUACCCUGGUAGUCCACGCCGUAAACGAUGAGUGCUAAGUGUUAGGGGGUUUCCGCCCCUUAGUGCUGCAGCUAACGCAUUAAGCACUCCGCCUGGGGAGUACGACCGCAAGGUUGAAACUCAAAGGAAUUGACGGGGACCCGCACAAGCGGUGGAGCAUGUGGUUUAAUUCGAAGCAACGCGAAGAACCUUACCAAAUCUUGACAUCCUUUGACAACUCUAAAGAUAGAGCCUUCCCCUUCGGGGGACAAAGUGACAGGUGGUGCAUGGUUGUCGUCAGCUCGUGUCGUGAGAUGUUGGGUUAAGUCCCGCAACGAGCGCAACCCUUAAGCUUAGUUGCCAUCAUUAAGUUGGGCACUCUAAGUUGACUGCCGGUGACAAACCGGAGGAAGGUGGGGAUGACGUCAAAUCAUCAUGCCCCUUAUGAUUUGGGCUACACACGUGCUACAAUGGACAAUACAAAGGGCAGCGAAACCGCGAGGUCAAGCAAAUCCCAUAAAGUUGUUCUCAGUUCGGAUUGUAGUCUGCAACUCGACUACAUGAAGCUGGAAUCGCUAGUAAUCGUAGAUCAGCAUGCUACGGUGAAUACGUUCCCGGGUCU
rnacentral:rRNA from 1 species